AUCGUCCAGCUGGGCAGAAGCGAGCUCCAGAACCCCCCGGGCCUGGUCAAAUCGCAGGCGGUCUCGGGACUGAUCUGGAACUUUCCAGCUGGGAGGUUUGAAGGAGGGAACUUCCGCACCCAGCCCCUGGGAAGAGCUCUUUGAGUCCGAAGAGAAGGCAGAGGAGAAGUUGGUUUGCUGAAGUCCAGAAGAGGCUCUGAGGGUGAGGACCCCUACCAAGGAGGCUGCAGAGAAGAGAGAAAGGCAUUGGGGGAGGCUGCUCCGGGGGACUGGCGGGCAGGGGACUGAGCGGGCAACUCACCCAGGAGUAGGAAGAGUGGCAGAGCCUGUGGGGUGUCCAUGGUGCUGGCCUCACUGAAAGGACACUGGAGAGAGACCCAGGACUGCACCCAUCCCUCCCGGGUCAGACGAGUCCAACAGGACUGGUAGCUUAGCUUCCUGGGAGGGGAAGGGAGCCAGACCCAGAGGGAGGUGCCAGGAUCCCCAACCCCGAUGUGGUGGCUGAGCUGCGCACCCCACCCCACUCUCUUCAUUAGCUGGUCCCAUCUGCGGGGAGGCCCAGCCUGAUCCCUGCACUCCCCACCCCCAGGGGGAAGCUGGAGAAAACAUUCCCAGCUAAAAAUGUGGUAGCAAAUUUGUGGGACAAAGCCAGGAAGACUUCCUGGAGGCGGGUGAGGUGACCUUUCCAAAAGCCCCACCUCUGAUGGCCACAGCUUCAGAGCAGGCUUCCUCCUCCCCAGCCUCCUGGCCCCUUCCACUCUGUCUUGCCUGCAGCCUCAGAUACAUCUGACCCUGCUCCUCCUCUGCUCCAAACCCCCCCACGGCUCUCUGUUGCCCUCAGAACCCAGUCUCCAGGUGCUGUCUCCUGCCAGGGCCUCUAUCCUGAGACCAGAGCUGCAUUUCCGCAUCCCCAAGGCCCUCACAUGGCCUGUGUCCCGCUAAACUCAGAAUCUUUCCUCUAACCCAAACUUCCUCACACCUCCAGGAUGGCUUCACUGUCUUCGCAAAUGCUGGGGAACAUUCCUACCUCCUCCCUCCCUGUCACCACUGGCCAUCUGAGUCCAGCCCUCCUCCCCCUAGUUCUCCGUGGCCAGGCUCUGUCUUCUCUUCCUGCCCCGUCUCCCUCCUCUGCCCACUCUCCUCCAGUCCCUGCCAGGGUCCUUCUACACCCAGAGCUGAACCUGCCUCCCCCUGCUCACAGCCCUCCCGUGGCUCCCCAGCACCUUCUGGAGACAUCCAAGCUUCAAAGCAAACUCAUGCACACGCCCCACUCAAGCACUUGAACAUCCUGCCGUUCUUAUCCUGCCCGCCCAUCUCACCUCCCAGUCCUCUACCUGGAAUGCUCUCUCCUACUCUCCACCUCCCUCCAACCUGGCUAAACCACAACUUGUCCUUCAGGUCUCACCUUAUUAAGAACCAUAACAAUUACCACUUAGUUUGAGCCAGAGACUACGCUAAAUGUUUCCUAUGCAUUAUCAGGCUGAACACUUCUAAACACCCUAUAAGCUGAGUGUCAUUAUACUCACUUUGCAGGCCAGGGGACUUAGGCUCAGAGGGGUCAAGGGACCUGCAGGAGGUUGCACAGCCAGAGGGAGAAGCUGGACUUGGGACUAGGAUGGUCAAACCAUUGACUUCUUCUGAUAGCUUUUCCCACCAUCCCAUGCUGAGCUUAGGGCCUCUGCUCAGCUCCCAGUCCUCUAAGCUUACCCUGGCCCAGUUCUCACCAGUAAUAAUACUGGUAAUAUAUAUAUAUAUCUAUUGAGAUGGAGUCUCGUUCUGUCGCCCAGUGAGUGCCUCAGCUCACUGCAGGCUCCAUCUCCCGGGUUCAAGUGGUUCUCCCAUCUCAGCCUCUGGAGCAGCUGGGAGUACAGGCGUGCACCACCAUACCCAGCUUAUUUUUGUUAUUUUUAAUAGAGAUGGGGUUUCGCCAUGUUGGCCAGGCUUAUCAUGACCUCCUGACCUCAAGUGAUCCGCCCGCCUCAGCCUCCCAGUGUUGGGAUUACAGGCGUGAGCCACCGUGCCCGGACUAAUACUGGUAAUAAUAUAUAUUUAGCAUUUUUUGCAUAGCAGGUGUGGUUAUGGGGGUGCUACAUAAAUUAACCUUUCAAAACUCCAUGGAGUAGAUUAUGUAGCUUAAAGAGGGCUGCAAAUUUGAGCAUCCUCCUGUUAAGAUGCGGGGUCUAUGUCCCCACUCCUUGGAUCUGAGUAGGCUGUGUGACUGCUGGACCAAGAUGUGGAAGUGACCCUGUGCCAGGGUCUGCAUCUAGGCCGGCAUAUGCCACUUUCUGUAUCAUAGGACACUUCCUCAUGGAACCCAGCCGCCACACUGCGAGGAUCAGCAGCCCCACGGAGGGGAAUCACGGCCCCUGGUCGGCAGCCCCAGCCAGCUUGCUGGCCAUGUGGGUGAGCCCUCUUGGAAGUCAAUCCCCUGGACCCAUUUGAGGCACCUGAACUGAUCCUGAACUGGAUCCAGGAAUGGAUCCAGUGGGAUUUGACCCAGGGCCCUGGGACCCAGAACUCAUGCCCUUAACCCCUACAUGAUGCUGUUACUAUUUUGAUCUGCAGAUGAGGCAACUGAAUCUCAAAACAGGAAGGAACUCACUCAAGAUCUAGCUGGCAAAGGUGAGAGUGAGCAUAUGAAAUCAAUAUAUCUGGCUCUAUCGGAAGGCCAGAGGAAUGGAACACAAUUUUUUAAAUAAAAAAUUUGUCCAGGC